AAUAGAGAGAGACAGAUAGGAGGAGAUAGAGCAAAUUGGGGAAAAUACAAAUCUAAAAAAAUAGCCACACCUCCUCUCUUAUAUUUUAUAUUCUUCCUAAAAUGCUUCAUUAAACCACCCUCAAACACCCCCAAAGAGCCUGUUUUUUUAGCCAUGAAAGGGUAACAAUGAAACCUCCAUUAAGCCACUCUUAAACUCCAUUAAGUAACUCCAAAAUUACUAUGAAACACCUCUGUUUACAGCUGAAAAAUGCAGCAAAAUGUCCAUUGAAAACAACUCCAAAAGCUCACCAAAAGUCAGCAAUAAAGCUACCACAAACACCUCCCACACCCAGCUCGAAAACAGCCCCCCAAAGCCCUAAAUGUUAGCCAAAAGCUGACCCGAAAAGAACCACAAAAGCAGUUUCAAUUUUUUCCAUUAAUCACGCUGGAGCUCUAUCACCCGAGAUCGCUGGCGAGUUCUCUGUGUCUGGUUCGGUUUGUUCAAAUUCUCUCAUUGAGUUUACAUGUUUGUAUUCAAUAAAUCUUCAUGUAUAUAAAAGGUUGAUUGAGCCACAAAGAUCUCCAGUUGGGAUAAGGCUGAUUGAGCCACAAAUACAAAUAGUACUGGGUGUGAAACUAUUAGGGUUGCUGCAGAACAAAAGUCUCUUGAAACCAACCCAAGCUGAUUGAGCAAAAGCCUAGCUGCCCAAGACUCAAGACCACAAACCGACCACCGCUUUCAAAGCUGACAAAAUUUUCAUCAGCUGAACAGGAACAAAGUAGUGCAAGGAAAGUGGUUUCAAAAAAAAGAAAAAAAAGAGAAGAGAAGAAAAGAGCUGACAAGGGGAUGUUUCUCAAAUCUUUCCCUUUACUUGUCUUGCUAAUGUGCAUAAAUGUUGCCAUUGCUCUUCAUAUUUUUUCUCCUAUGAUAGAAAACCUAGUCUGAUGAACUUUCUCCUAUGAUAGAAAACCUAGUCUGA